CAUCACCCUUCCCUCAAAGCUGGCUCAUCUCUUCUCAUUCAUCAAGCUUUCUUCACUUAGUUGCCCUUUUGCCCAGCUUUGGGGGAAGGGUGAUGAAGGAGAAGAGAAAGGUCAGGUGAAGAAAAGAAAGAAAAAAUAGAAACCUCCCAAGUUCUACCCCGCUGAUGACGUCAAGAAACUACUUGUCAACAAGCACAAGCACAAGCCCACCAAGCUCAGGUUCAAUUCCGAAAAGGAUGAGUAUUAUACCGGGGACAGUGUUAAUUGUGUUGGCUGGGAGAUUUAAAGGGAAGAGAGUUGUAUUCCUGAAGCAACUUUCAUCUGGCUUGCGUCUGGUGGGCAAGAUCGAUCCAUAUGUUAUUUUAAGCCUAGGGGACCAAGACAUACGCAGCAAAAAGAACAGCGAAACCACAAUCAUUGGACCUCCUAGUGAACCAAUUUAGAAUCAGGAUACAAGCAACUAUAGAACAUUGUCUGGUCAUAUGCAUCUUCUAUCAAGUCAUAUAAGAUAUUUGGUGAUGCAGUGUUGCUUGAUACCACUCAUUGCUUGACUGCAGUUGAUAUGCCACUUGGGAUAUGGGUUGGAAUGAAUAAUUAUGGUAUGCCUUGCUUCUUUGGUUGCUUGCUUCAACGAGAAGAAAAUUUGAGGUCUUUUUGAUGGGCAUUGAAGGUAGAACUUGGAAAAGGAGCCGUGCAUUAUGGAGCUCAGAAAUCAGGUAAUAUUUAUCUUGCUUUCUUUAGGUGGUGUCGAAAUUAUUGUAUUGAUUGUGAAACAUUUUCUCCUGUUUGUAUGGUACACAGUGCAGAAUUAUGAGAACAACAGAGUUGACUACUACAGAGGAGAAGCUACAUGAGCUUGAUAGACAAAAGGAAGAAAUGUUGAGGUUUGGUUCCCCUGCUUCCCUUCUCCAAAGGCUUGAAGGUAUAGAAUAUGAUAAUUUAUAGUUGGAAAUCUAAAUUGUGCAGUUUCUUUAUGCUCAAGCUCAAGUUUCUUUUUGUUGUUUUGUACAUAGUGGCUAUGCUUAAACACGAAAGAAUUAAUGUAGAGAAGCCAAAUUUCAUAAUAAGCUACUUUAUCUUAAUUACCUUUAACCUUUAUUUUACUGGUGUUUGUAUGCAAAUGCAAUGAACAUGACAGAUGACGAAUCUGAAAAUCUACACAAGCAGUUUUUUGUGCAGAUAUACAAGAAGCUUCGCAUCACUUAAGCGAGCACUAUUCUGAGCUUGAAAGAUUCUUCCAAUCUCUUUUAAAAUGCGGCUCCAUGGCAGUAUGUCCAUAAGAGAGUAGUCAGGAGGAAUUAAUUGUGCAGUUGUGGAAAAUAUUUAAAUAAAUUGAUAUGAAAGUGUCGAAUAAAUGGAACCAUCUCUCAUUUCUCAUCUACCCUGAUUUCUCAUUAACUGUCGAAUAAAGUGGAAAAUAUUUAAACAAAUUGUUUUACCAUCUCCCAUUUCUCAUCUACCCUCAUUAACUUCUAUCCCUCUCUCUUCCUCUCCCUGCUACCACAUUCAAUGAAUCCAAUGUGUCUCCCUAUCUCCUUCUCUUUUGUUGGUUACCUACCUUUCAGCCUUUCUUCACACUUACCAACCAGUGCAGAAAAUACAAUACCACCUUCAGUGCAGUUCAAUCUCCCUGCAUACCCCCAAGCUUUUGUGAUAACAAAAAGACUGAAAAUCUUCAUUGUGGAGCCCAUAAACUUCAAAAAUGUGUAAUUAAAGUAUACGUUUGUGCGCAGCAGAGGUAAAGAUUUUUGGUAUGUAUAUAUAUAUA